GCCUACGGGGGGCAGCAGUAGGGAAUAUUGCUCAAUGGGGGAAACCCUGAAGCAGCAACGCCGCGUGGAGGAUGAAGGUUUUCGGAUUGUAAACUCCUUUUGUUAGAGAAGAUAAUGACGGUAUCUAACGAAUAAGCACCGGCUAACUCCGUGCCAGCAGCCGCGGUAAUACGGAGGGUGCAAGCGUUACUCGGAAUCACUGGGCGUAAAGAGCGCGUAGGCGGGAUAGCAAGUCAGAUGUGAAAGCCCAAGGCUCAACCAUGGGACUGCUUUGGAAACUGUAAAACUGGAGUGCAGGAGAGGUA
rnacentral:rRNA from 1 species